rnacentral:rRNA from 1 species
UACGUAGGGGGCAAGCGUUGUCCGGAUUUAUUGGGCGUAAAGAGCGUGUAGGCGGCCUGGUAGGUCAGCUGUGAAAACUCGAGGCUCAACCUCGAGACGCCGGUUGAAACCAUCAGGCUAGAGUCCGGAAGAGGAGAGUGGAAUUCCCGGUGUAGCGGUGAAAUGCGCAGAUAUCGGGAAGAACACCCGUGGCUAAGGCGGCUCUCUAGUACGGUACUGACGCUGGGACGCGAAAGCGUGGGGAGCGAACAGG